CUACGGGAGGCUGCAGUGAGGAAUAUUGCACAAUGGGGGGAACCCUGAUGCAGCAACGCCGCGUGGAGGAUGACGCAUUUCGGUGUGUAAACUCCUUUUAUAUGUCAAGAAAAUGACGGUAGCAUAUGAAUAAGCACCGGCUAACUCCGUGCCUGCAGGCCGCGGUAAUACGGAGGGUGCAAGCGUUACUCGGAAUCACUGGGCGUAAAGGACGCGUAGGCGGGUUGGAAAGUCAGGUGUGAAAUCCUACAGCUUAACUGUAGAACUGCACUUGAAACUUCUAAUCUAGAGUAUGGGAGGGGGAGAUGGAAUUAGUGGUGUAGGGGUAAAAUCCGUAGAUAUCACUAGGAAUACCUAAAGCGAAGGCGAUCUCCUGGAACAUUACUGACGCUAAGGCGUGAAAGCGUGGGGAGCAAACAGGAUUAGAUACCCCAGUAGUC
rnacentral:rRNA from 1 species